GCCCCUGAGGAAUUUGGUAAUGUCCAUUAGUUACCUGACAUCCGGAGCCCUGGCAAAUUCACUCUCUUUCACAGAGUUUCAAGCCAGGUUUGAUGGGAGAUCCCCCCGUCCACACACUGUGCAGGACACCGGAAGUAGAGGUCUGCCAGCCUGCUUAUUCCCGUCCUCAGUGCCCAGAACUGAGCAGGUCACCAACCUACAGUGCCUACCCCUACCCUUCUUCCGGCGAGAUGUGAAAACGGAGACCCAGAGAAGGGAAACAGUUGAAUCUUGUCCUGGAGUUACUUUUGUUCCUGGAUUUGGGGAAUUCCUGGGAACACCAGAAAAUGUAGUGUGUCCCACUGGUUGGUAAGAGAGCUGGAUGUCUGAACCUCCCACCUUGACACCUCGAAGGUUAUCAUUGCAGACCAUUCUCUAAGUCCCAAAGCCAUGGAGGAGGUGAAGGAAGACAUUUCAGAGAUGUCAGUGCCAUGAUGUCCAUCAAUACCUGGAGAGAGAAGCCAAGGAGAAGAGACAGUGACCAGAGAGGGAGCCAGGAGGAGAUGCCUGCUCCUGAAAAAGCCUUCUUACCCCAUCCUGUCUCACGCAUCCUCUCACAUGCUGACAAGGCUCUGUGCCCAGGUUGUGCUGGGUUUCCUGGCUGGUGAUCCUGCUCUGCCGUACAGGCAGCUGGCUCUCUGCUACAGCACAGAGCACAUGCUGGGGUCUCUCACACUUCUUUCUAACUCUUCUCAGUGUGUCUGUGGUGCAGAUUCCUAGGGAUGAAGAAGGGGACUGUGGCCCUGGAAGUAGGAAGAUGGUGGGCUCUUGGGUCCUGUAGGUGCCUGUCUGCCUGGCUGGAGUGGCUGUAGGAAGGGAGAAGGCUGCUGGCAGCUCAUCUGAGCUCAAGGUUCUGGUGACUCAUAACAAUAGAGGGUGGCUCAUGAUAACGACAGAGGAGAAGGCAUCUGGGCCUGUUAGAGCUCCCUUUUGCCCCAUUUCUCCCCAACUCUGUGCUCUGUGGAUAGAGGUCUCUCAUCUGGAUUGUGGGGCAAGGAGAGACCCCAGCUAAGAAGAGAGGGAAAUGGGAGAGAAGAUGGCAGGGAAUGCUGAGCAUUCCCAGGGAGAGGCUUCUCAGUGAGGAAAGGAUAGGAGAGGCUAGUUAUUCUUACUCUACUGUGUCCAUGGGCUACACACAGGGUAAUGUGCUGGGCAGCUCAGCACUCCUGGGCAGACACAGCUACUGCUCCCUGCCGUCUCUUGCCUGCCACAGCUCUGGGCACCCAGCUGACACCCAGAAAAUUUUUUUUAAGUAGGGGGGCAGUAUUUUAAGACCAGAACCUGGAAGGAUUACCACUUGGUCUUAUACUUUCUUUGCUGGAAACAGAAACUGUGGUCUUCAAAGGUGCCGAUUUUCUCUUCCCUUACAGGCCAAGUAGGCGACGUGCAUCUUCUCCAGACUUUCUGAAUCAGGGGGAUGAUAAAAUACUAUGUUUAAGGUCACACCAGCAGCACAGGGCCAGAAAAAGGACCAGGAGAACUAGCCAUGCCCCUGACCACAGUCUCAGGGGCCUCCCUGUUUCAGCAAAAGGAAAUAAGGAUCUUGGAUACCAGUAUAUCUAGACAGUUAAUAAAUAUCCUCUUCCUAACCUCA
rnacentral:lncRNA from 1 species